rnacentral:rRNA from 1 species
GGUUCGAUUAUGGCUCAGAUUGAACGCUGGCGGGAUGCUUUACACAUGCAAGUCGAACGGCAGCACGGACUUCGGUCUGGUGGCGAGUGGCAGACAGGUGAUAAUGUAUCGGAACGUGCCCUAGUAGCGGGGGAUAACUACGCUGAAGGCAGCCUAAUACCGCAUACGCCCUUCGGGGGAAAGCGGGGGGACCUUCGGGCCUCCCGCACUAUUAGAGCGGCCGAUAUCGGAUUGGCUAGUUGGUGGGGUAACGGCUCACCAAGGCGACGAUUCGUAGCUGGUUUGAGAGGACGACCAGCCACACUGGGACUGAGACACGGCCCCCGAACUCCACGGGGAGGCAGCAGUGGGGAAUUUUGGACAAUGGGGGAAACCCUGAUCCAGCCAUCCCGCGUGUGCGAUGAAGGCCUUCGGGUUGUAAAGCACUUUUUGGCAGGAAAGAAACGGCACGGGAUAAUACCCCGUGCAACUGACGGUACCUGCAAAUAAGCACCGGCUAUCUACGUGCCAGCAGCCGCGGUAAUACGUAGGGUGCAAGCGUUAAUCGGAAUUACUGGGCGUAAAGCGUGCGCAGGCGGUUCGGAAAGAAGAUGUGAAAUCCCAGAGCUUAACUUUGGAGACUGCAUUUUUUAACUACCGAGCUAGAGUGUGUCAGAGGAGGUGGAAUUCCGCGUGUAGCAGUGAAAUGCGUAGAUAUGCGGAGGAACACCGAUGGCGAAGGCAGCCUCCUGGAGUAACACUGACGCUCAUGCACGAAAGCGUGGGGAGCAAACAGGAUUAGAUACCCUGGUAGUCCACGCCCUAAACGAUGUCAACUAGCUGUUGGGGCCUUCGGGCCUUGGUAGCGCAGCUAACGCGUGAAGUUGACCGCCUGGGAGUACGGUCGCAAGAUUAAAACUCAAAGGAAUUGACGGGGACCCGCACAAGCGGUGGAUGAUGUGGAUUAAUUCGAUGCAACGCGAAAAACCUUACCUACCCUUGACAUGUCUGGAAUCCCGAAGAGAUUUGGGAGUGCUCGCAAGAGAACCGGAACACAGGUGCUGCAUGGCUGUCGUCAGCUCGUGUCGUGAGAUGUUGGGUUAAGUCCCGCAACAGGCGCAACCCUUGUCAUUAGUUGCUACGAAAGGGCACUCUAAUGAGACUGCCGGUGACAAACCGGAGGAAGGUGAGGAUGACGUCAAGUCCUCAUAAAGCCGUGCUCUCUGGGUAGGAGCUUCACACGUCAUACAAUGGUCGGGACAGAGGGUCGCCAACCCGCGAGGCCAAUCCAGAAACCCGAUCGUAGUCGGAUCGCAGUCUGCAACUCGACUGCGUGAAGUCGGAGUCGCUAGUAAUCGCGGAUCAGCAUGUCGCGGUGAAUACGUUCCCGGGUCUUGUACACACCGCCCGUCACACCAUGGGAAUUAGGUUUUACCAAGAAAUGGAUUAGCCUAACCGUAAGGAGGGCGAUUACCACAGUAGGAUUCAUGACUGGGGUGAAGUCGUAACAAAAGGUAG